UAGGGAAUCUUCCACAAUGGACGCAAGUCUGAUGGAGCAACGCCGCGUGAGUGAAGAAGGUUUUCGGACCGUAAAGCUCUGUUGUUGGUGAAGAAGGAUAGAGGUAGUAACUGGCCUUUAUUUGACGGUAAUCAACCAGAAAGUCACGGCUAACUACGUGCCAGCAGCCGCGGUAAUACGUAGGUGGCAAGCGUUGUCCGGAUUUAUUGGGCGUAAAGCGAGCGCAGGCGGAAGAAUAAGUCUGAUGUGAAAGCCCUCGGCUUAACCGAGGAAUUGCAUCGGAAACUGUUUUCUUGAGUGCAGAAGAGGAGAGUAGAACUCCAUGUGUAGCGGUGGAAUGCGUAGAUAUAUGGAAGAAUACCAGUGGCGAAGGCGGCUCUCUGGUCUGCAACUGACGCUGAGGCUCGAAAGCAUGGGUAGCGAACAGGAUUAGAUACCCUGGUAGUCCAUGCCGUAAACGAUGAGUGCUAAGUGUUGGGAGGCUUCCGCCUCUCAGUGCUGCAGCUAACGCAUUAAGCACUCCGCCUGGGGGAGUACGACCGCAAGGUUGAAACUUAA
rnacentral:rRNA from 1 species